rnacentral:rRNA from 1 species
AGUGUAGGCGGGAUUCGUAAGUUAGGAGUUUAAAUGCAUGGGCUUAACCCAUGAUCUGCUUUUAAUACUGCGGUUCUUGAGUAUGGGAGAGGGCGAUGGAAUUCCAGGUGUAGCGGUGGAAUGCGUAGAUAUCUGGAAGAACACCAGUAGCGAAGGCGGUCGCCUGGCCCAAUACUGACGCUGAUGCUCGAAAGCUAGGGGAGCAAACAGGAUUAGAUACCCUGGUAGUCCUAGCCGUAAACGAUGGACACUAGUUGCUGGAGGAGUCAAUCCUUUCGGUGACGAAGCUAACGCAUUAAGUGUCCCGCCUGGGGAGUACGCUCGCAAGGGUGAA